rfam:Novosphingobium sp. B1 genome assembly, contig: Ga0157230_106
UCAGCGGACCGGGCCCCUCUGGCGCGGCGUUCUGGCCAAAUGGCAGUUCGCUUCGUGAUGUCGGACCGCAUCG